CGCGUAGGCGGUUUGGACAGUCAGGCGUGAAAUUCCUGGGCUUAACCCGGGGGCUGCGCUUGAUACAUCCAGGCUUGAGUGGGGAAGAGGGUCGUGGAAUUCCCAGUGUAGAGGUGAAAUUCGUGGAUAUUGGGAAGAACACCGGUGGCGAAGGCGGCGACCUGGUCCUUUACUGACGCUGAGGCGCGAAAGCGUGGGGAGCAAACAGGAUUAGAUACCCUGGUAGUCCACGCUGUAAACGAUGUGUGCUGGAUGUUGGGUGACCUAGUCACUCAGUGUCGUAGCUAACGCGGUAAGCACACCGCCUGGGGAGUACGGCCGCAAGGUUGAA
rnacentral:rRNA from 1 species